rnacentral:rRNA from 1 species
GUCGAGGGGCAGCACAAUGCGUAGCAAUACAAAUGGUGGCGACCGGCGCACGGGUGAGUAACACGUAUGCAACCUACCUGUAAGAGGGGAAUAACCCGGAGAAAUUCGGACUAACACCGCAUAAUACUGUUGAACUGCAUGGUUCGACAGUUAAAUAUUUAUAGCUUACAGAUGGGCAUGCGUAACAUUAGAUAGUUGGUGAGGUAACGGCUCACCAAGUCAACGAUGUUUAGGGGUUCUGAGAGGAAGGUCCCCCACACUGGUACUGAGACACGGACCAGACUCCUACGGGAGGCAGCAGUGAGGAAUAUUGGUCAAUGGGCGAGAGCCUGAACCAGCCAAGUCGCGUGAAGGAAGAAUGUCCUAUGGAUUGUAAACUUCUUUUGUAAGGGAAUAAAAAAGAGUACGUGUACUCUAUUGUAUGUACUUUACGAAUAAGGAUCGGCUAACUCCGUGCCAGCAGCCGCGGUAAUACGGAGGAUCCGAGCGUUAUCCGGAUUUAUUGGGUUUAAAGGGUGCGUAGGCGGACCAAUUAGUCAGUGGUGAAAGUUUGCAGCUCAACUGUAAAAUUGCCAUUGAAACUGUUGGUCUUGAGUGUAAAUGAGGUAGGCGGAAUGUGUUGUGUAGCGGUGAAAUGCU